AGAGUUGAUCCUGGCUCAGGAUGAACGCUAGCUACAGGCUUAACACAUGCAAGUCGAGGGGCAGCAUAGUCAAGCUUGCUUGAUUGAUGGCGACCGGCGCACGGGUGAGUAACGCGUAUCCAACCUUCCCCUUAGUAGGGCAUAGCCCGGCGAAAGUCGGAUUAAUACCCUAUGUUGUGUCAUGAGGACAUCUGAAUAACACUAAAGAUUUAUCGCUAAGGGAUGGGGAUGCGUCCGAUUAGCUUGCCGGCGGGGUAACGGCCCACCGGGGCGACGAUCGGUAGGGGUUCUGAGAGGAAGGUCCCCCACACUGGUACUGAGACACGGACCAGACUCCUACGGGAGGCAGCAGUGAGGAAUAUUGGUCAAUGGGCGAGAGCCUGAACCAGCCAAGUAGCCGUGCAGGAUGACGGCCCUAUGGGUUGUAAACUGCUUUUAUGCGGGGAUAAAGUGACGUACGUGUACGUUUUUGUAGGUACCGCAUGAAUAAGGACCGGCUAAUUCCGUGCCAGCCGCAGC
rnacentral:rRNA from 1 species